CGCAAGUGGAUCAGGUACACCGACUGACCUAUUGUCAAGUUGGGACUUUUCCUGCUACCCAAGUUUAUAAAGAAUACCUGAACAAGUUGACCGCAACAGCAAGGACUAAUGAUAUGGAAACCAACAUCAGAGGUGGGAUAUUUGAGUGUCUGUGGAGGCCUCUGAGAAGAGUCUGGAGACUUCUGUGCUGCCAUGGACAUGAUGACAAUGAAAUAAAACUUUCAGAGGAAGAAAUAUCACCAUUUUUUAAUGGCCAUAGCUCCGUCCGUCCAUGGUGCAGCCCAAGUUGUUUUCAUCACUGAGAUGAUCAUUUUUGAUGAAUUGAUGAGCAGCCAAACAACAGAAUUCUUGGAGCAACAUUUAAAGCAUUUAAAAGACUUGGCAAAAUUGAUCUACUUCCUCUCAAGCUGUCUCCAAAGCAGAGGCACCGUUACUGAAUAAUGCGGUCCCAAUAUGAUGUGUAACUUUGUGCCUUACCACUACUGCCUAGUGCCUAUAAAUUCUCAGGAGACCAAACCCAUCGUCUUUUGGAGAUGUUGGCUGGUCAGACCUCAGGAAAUGUGUCUACCUCUUCUGCGCCAACUACCAAAGACAAUGUACUCUUCUUGUGUCAGGUCAAAUAGGCAGAAUAUUUGUCUAAAUUC